rnacentral:rRNA from 1 species
GAUGAACGCUAGCGGCAGGCCUAAUACAUGCAAGUCGAACGGUGUCUUCGGACAUAGUGGCGCACGGGUGCGUAACACGUAUGCAACCUACCUUACAUUGGGGGAUAGCCUUUCGAAAGGGAGAUUAAUACCGCAUAAGACAGUAGCUGGGCGUCCAGCAGCUGUUAAAGAUUUAUCGAUGUAAGCUGGGCAUGCGUCCAAUUAGCUAGUUGGUGAGGUAACGGCUCACCAAGGCAAUGAUUGGUAGGGGAACUGAGAGGUCAAUCCCACACUGGCACUGAGAUACGGGCCAGACUCCUACGGGAGGCAGCAGUAGGGAAUAUUGGGCAAUGGACGCAAGUCUGACCCAGCCAUGCCGCGUGCAGGAUGAAGGCGUUAUGCGUUGUAAACUGCUUUUAUACAGGAAGAAACGACUCUUGCGAGAGGCAUUGACGGUACUGUAUGAAUAAGCACCGGCUAACUCCGUGCCAGCCGCCGCCGUAAGAC